AAUGAACGUUGGCGGCGUGGAUUAGGCAUGCAAGUCGAACGGUAACAGGCCGCAAGGUGCUGACGAGUGGCGAACGGGUGAGUAAUGCAUCGGAACGUGCCCAGUCGUGGGGGAUAACGCAGCGAAAGCUGUGCUAAUACCGCAUACGAUCUAUGGAUGAAAGCGGGGGACCGUAAGGCCUCGCGCGAUUGGAGCGGCCGAUGUCAGAUUAGGUAGUUGGUGAGGUAAAGGCCUACCAAGCCGACGAUCGGUAGCUGGUCUGAGAGGACGACCAGCCACACUGGAACUGAGACACGGCCCAGACUCCUACGGGAGGCAGCAGUGGGGAAUUUUGGACAAUGGGCGCAAGCCUGAUCCAGCAAUGCCGCGUGCAGGAAGAAGGCCUUCGGGUUGUAAACUGCUUUUGUACGGAACGAAACGGUCUGGGUUAAUACCCUGGGCUAAUGACGGUACCGUAAGAAUAAGCACCGGCUAACUACGUGCCAGCAGCCGCCGUAAUAC
rnacentral:rRNA from 1 species